UACGUAGGGGGCAAGCGUUGUCCGGAUUUAUUGGGCGUAAAGAGCGUGUAGGCGGUCUGGUAGGUCCGUUGUGAAAACUCGAGGCUCAACCUCGAGACGCCGAUGGAAACCCUCAGACUAGAGUCCGGAAGAGGAGAGUGGAAUUCCUGGUGUAGCGGUGAAAUGUGCAGAUAUCAGGAAGAACACCCGUGGCUAAGGCGGCUCUCUAGUACGGUACUGACGCUGAGACGCGAAAGCCAGGGGAGCAAACGGG
rnacentral:rRNA from 1 species